rnacentral:lncRNA from 1 species
AUUUGUAGGACCUCUUUAUUUUCUUCCAAGUUUUCAAAACCUCUGAAAAAAAUUAAAAAUUCCAUUUCUCUAUUUUACAAUGUUAACCACUGCAUUAAUUAGAGGUAUCUAUAAUUUAAUGUAAAUGCUCAGAAUUCCAUAUUUGGCCAAAAUUUUUAUCCUAUUUAUACUAUAUAAUAUUUAAAGUAACAACAAAAAAAGAAACUAUGUUGGUGUAUGGGCCCCAAACUGUAAAAUUCCUCCAUUUUAAAAUAAGUAUAUAUGCUUAUAUAUUUAUUGAUUUAUAUUAAGUGUGUUUAUUAUAAAUACAGAUAUAUAACAAAGCAGUAUGGGUUAGUGAGGCCAAAACAGACAUGUUUAUACCUCAUGAAAUCGACAUCCUAAAAGUAAAGAUAAGUAAUAGCCGUGUGUUAUACUGAGAAUCAUGUUACAUAUAUGUUACAGUUACAAGUGACUGUGACUUCACAAUAAGUGGUUUAAAAAUAUCUGUACAGAUAUAUUAAACUGUGAUAUGAAAAAGCUGAAAGGAACAUCCAUGAAAGAAGUGAAAACAAAGUUGCAAACCAAGAGAGCGGUUAAGAGUUGGGAAUUUGGAGGGUGUGAGGAUAUGAAGGGAAUGGUACAUUGUAAGGAGGAACAAGUAUCAGGGCACAUGAACAAAGCUUCAGGGCUUCAUUGGAACGUGGUAGCUCUUGUUAGAGUAGACGUGCUGAAGAUGGAGACCAGUGCAUGAGUUUUGGAUGACUAAAUGCCAGGUUUACUGAUGGACUGGAAAUAAGGGAUGAAGAAGACAGAAAAACCAAAACUAAACUUGCAUUUGGGGAACCAGCAGUUGAUUUAAUGGCAGUGAAGUAGGAGCUUUGGAGUGGAAAAGUCAAAUUUGGUUUUGGCUGCAUGAUGUCACAAGUAACUAGUAGAUACUCAAAUGGUCCUAUUACAUAGGCAUAGGCAGGCUGGAGAGAUAGUUCAGCAGUAGAUUGCUUUACUCGAAAGCUUGAGGACAUGAAUUUAAGCCCCCCAAACCCCCUAAAAAACAAAACCAAAAAAAAACUUGGCAUCAUGACACUUUCUUAGUCCCAUAGUUGGUAGGUGCAGACAAGAGGAUCACUGAGGCUUGCUGGUCGCCAGUUCAACCUAACUGGUAAGUUCCAGGUUAGUGAAGAUCCUGUCUCAGCAUAAUGCUUCAUGGUAACUGAGGAAGGACAGUCAAAUUUGUUGUCUGGCCUACACACACACACACACACACAUAAGCUAUUGCAUCUGAGAUUUGAAAGAUUGAUUAAGAUCAAGAAUUGAAGUCCAUAUGUAUCAGUGUUUACAUUUUUAAGACCAAGAAUAGUCCUGUAUAAUAGAAAAGUAGGACCAGGUUUGAGGUCAAAAUGAUUCUCAUGUUUAGGGAUUAGGCAGAGGUCAAGAAGCUAAUAAACUAAAAGUUCAGGGACAGAAAAGAGAAGUGCAGCUGAUUUGGUGGUUUUAAGUAAAGAUCGGGGCUGGAGAGAUGGCUUAGCAGUGUAUGUAUGCAAACGACCUGAACUUGGUUCUAGCACUCGCAUACACGAGCUCACAACAGUUGCCUAUCACUGCAACUCUAAGGGAUCUGGGACUCUCUUCUGGUCUCCUGGGGCAUUCCAAAACAUGGGCCCAUGCACACAAGUACAUGCAGACACAGUUAAAGACAAUAGUAAACCUAAAAACAAACAAAAGAACAAAAAAAAAAAAAAGGAAAGAAGAUCAUAAUCAAGUAUUGCUCACUGAAUAAUGGCAACUUUGUCUAGAGUGUUCUCAUUGGAUAAUGGCAACUUUGUCUAGAGUGUUCCCUUUGAGGUCCUCACUGAGGGCAGUCUCUAGAAUGCAGUGAAGUCAAAGCCUGCCUGGAAUGGCUGAGAAGACAGGUAGGAAAUGGAAUCAGAAUCUGUGAAUAAGUCUUCAAAAGUAUUUGUUGUGACAGAAGCCAAGCAAAACAGGGCAGAGCAAAGGAGCUGUGGGGUUUUGCUUUUUGUUUGGCCUACGGGAAGGAUGUUAACAAGUGUAUUUACAUACAAAUGACAGUGAUUUGGCUGGCUGGGAUCUGACUAUGCAGGAGAGAGGAUAAUCAUAGAAAGAGGCUGGAGAGAUAGAGUUCAUUGGUAUUCAAGCAAAGCGAAAGGUUCCUUUUAAAAGGGGCAGGUACAUAGAACUGCAGUUGCAAGGGAAGGGCCUCUGCAACAGGCAGCUUAAUUGGUAGGUCUGUAGUGGAAAAGGAUAAGAUGUUGCUAUGUGAGUAGUUUGAUUAGAAAAGUUAAUGUCGGGGCUGGGAAGGAAGUGUAGGUUGAAAGUGUAGUUGUAAGCUGUUAAAGUAGGAAAGUGAGUAUAUAUACACAUAUACACAUAUAUAUGUACAUACAUUUGUAUAUAUGUGUAUAUAUAUAUUAAAUAUUGAGGAAAACAAAAUACUUCAAAGGCAUCUUCAUCAAUAGUUUUAAGCUAUGUUUUUAGAAGACCCAACACUUUGUUUCCCAAGGACUCUAAUGAGUCCUCUCUGCCCGAAUAGUACAGAUUGAGGACUUCUCAAGGGUACUAGUAUUUGUCCUGUUUUCUUACUUACGUUUGCCUCUUACAGAGUAAAUGGCAGAAACAUUUGGUAUUUGUUCUAUCAAAAGCUAUGAAAAUUAAAACUAGUUUGUUCUGAAAGAGGUGCAGUGUUUAUUUAACCUAACAAUAUUCUCAAAUCCUAUUUUGGAAGUGCUUAAGCUCCUAUCUAUAUUUUAAAAAGCAAAAAAAUAGGGGUGAAGAUAUUAACCUUUUAAGAGAAACAUUUUUGUUUUGUUUCCACCGAGAAGACACUGUAAAAUAUGUUGUCAUUUAGACCAAGUCGAUGGGUGAUGUGAGGGUGUUUUGUUCUCUGUCCCUCUUGACUUAAGGAAAAGGAUUAAAAACAAACGAACAGUGCUGGGUGCUUCAUUUCUGGAUACACUGUAUCUGAUGUGUGGGACUUUAAAGAUGCAUCUUUCUUCUUUGGGCUUUAUGUGAAAUUAGAUUGUGACUAAUGGGAUAAGAUUGGUCUCCAUAUUUUUGCUAUUCUAGCACAACCUAAAAUAUAAAUAUGUAAGUAUACAUGUAAAUUCCUAUUUGCUUAAAUAAUUUAAAUAUUUAAAUACUCAAAUUUUAAAUGGUAGACAUUCUCAGUGCAUUCAAAAUAUUAAGUACAAAUGUCUUUGUGGCACAAAUCCUAAAAAACAGUACAAAAUAGUGUAUUCUGUAUAAUACCUAGAUAACAUCUGUCUAGACUUAUUUAAUCACCUUCACAGAUUAUAUUUGACUAAUCAAAAACUGCAGCCACAAUACUUUUUUCCCCAUAAUUUAAAGACUUAUAAAGUCUUUCCUUGUUAACGGACUCAAGGCUAUCAUUCUUCAAGUAUUUAGCUGGUACUAGAGCCAUCUAUUUUGCAAGAGGGUUUGAAUCUGUUUGUGACAAUGAGAAGGGAUAGCACCACAUCAUGUUUUCUGUUUGGAAUCAUAUCACUAUUUAGGGCAUACAUGUUUCUUCCAAGGUUGCUUAUACAGUUGAUGUUUUCAUUUUAGUUGUAAUUCCAAUAUGGUAGAGACAUAAAUGCAGCAAAAUGGCGCUAUUUGAACUGCAAUUCUUCUACUACCUACUUAACCAUAGCAAUGAAGUACUUCAGUUUCAUUGGAAGGUGGUACUAUUUUCAUCUUAUUAAACUACUAUAAUAUUCCAUGUAAAUGUUCAUGUGCUGGCAUGCAAACAAGGUAAUAGUGUUAUAGAAUGCCCAGCUCCCAAUAAGAGGGGUCAUUUAUGGUAAACUGAAUUAUAUUUGUUAUCUAGUUGCUGAAAGGAUAUGGUGUUUAGCAAAACAACCUGCUGAGCAACAUAGUGAGAUUUUUGUACAAAGUACAAAUUGCUAAUUAUUGUAUUUUAUUUUUCUAUGAUUUCCUAAAAGGCAUUAUCAGGGUCUUAAAGAUGGAGAAAGCCUGUUUAUUAAAAUAUCUAUUACC